ACCUGCAAGUCGAGCGGGGGAAGGUAGCUUGCUACUGGACCUAGCGGCGGACGGGUGAGUAAUGCUUAGGAAUCUGCCUAUUAGUGGGGGACAACAUCUCGAAAGGGAUGCUAAUACCGCAUACGUCCUACGGGAGAAAGCAGGGGAUCUUCGGACCUUGCGCUAAUAGAUGAGCCUAAGUCGGAUUAGCUAGUUGGUGGGGUAAAGGCCUACCAAGGCGACGAUCUGUAGCGGGUCUGAGAGGAUGAUCCGCCACACUGGGACUGAGACACGGCCCAGACUCCUACGGGAGGCAGCAGUGGGGAAUAUUGGACAAUGGGGGGAACCCUGAUCCAGCCAUGCCGCGUGUGUGAAGAAGGCCUUAUGGUUGUAAAGCACUUUAAGCGAGGAGGAGGCUACUUUAGUUAAUACCUAGAGAUAGUGGACGUUACUCGCAGAAUAAGCACCGGCUAACUCUGUGCCAGCAGCCGCGGUAAUACAGAGGGUGCGAGCGUUAAUCGGAUUUACUGGGCGUAAAGCGUGCGUAGGCGGCUUAUUAAGUCGGAUGUGAAAUCCCCGAGCUUAACUUGGGAAUUGCAUUCGAUACUGGUGAGCUAGAGUAUGGGAGAGGAUGGUAGAAUUCCAGGUGUAGCGGUGAAAUGCGUAGAGAUCUGGAGGAAUACCGAUGGCGAAGGCAGCCAUCUGGCCUAAUACUGACGCUGAGGUACGAAAGCAUGGGGAGCAGACAGGAUUAGAUACCCUGGUAGUCCAUGCCGUAAACGAUGUCUACUAGCCGUUGGGGCCUUUGAGGCUUUAGUGGCGCAGCUAACGCGAUAAGUAGACCGCCUGGGGAGUACGGUCGCAAGACU
rnacentral:rRNA from 1 species